rnacentral:rRNA from 1 species
UACGUAGGGUGCGAGCGUUAAUCGGAAUUACUGGGCGUAAAGCGUGCGCAGGCGGUUAUGCAAGACAGAUGUGAAAUCCCCGGGCUCAACCUGGGAACUGCAUUUGUGACUGCAUGGCUGGAGUGCGGCAGAGGGGAUGGAAUUCCGCGUGUAGCAGGUGAAAUGCGUAGAUAUGCGGAGGAACACCGAUGGCGAAGGCAAUCCCUGGGCCUGCACUGACGCUCAUGCACGAAAGCGUGGGGAGCAAACAGG